AUAUAAUUGGCACACUACAAUCUGUUGGAAAGAUUGAACGGGGCUUGCUAAGCACCAUAACCACUAUAGCUCAUUAUAAUGGUUAUGGUGCUAUGAAUCUAUGGCCACUGAUUGGCUCUCCCUGAAACUCAUAGGCCACACCCUCUCCAGCACACUGUGAAGGAGACACUCCAGACUUCUAAAGCUGUUUAGCUUGCCUUAUGUGUAAAGAAUGUGUCCUAUUUGUUUCAUUUUACAGAUUGAAGUACAGAUUAAAACAGAAAUUGGCACUUCUAACUAUGUUACACCCCCUUGUCUGUCAAUCAGACACUGUGCCUGUUACUUCCUGGUGUGUUUAGCUCUGUGGAAAUACACUUAAGGACAGCAAUUGCCCAGAGCACCUGCCUCGCAAAGACUUCUCAUUG